rnacentral:rRNA from 1 species
UAUCCGGAUUUAUUGGGCGUAAAGGGCUCGUAGGCGGCUCGUCGCGUCCGGUGUGAAAGUCCAUCGCUUAACGGUGGAUCUGCGCCGGGUACGGGCGGGCUGGAGUGCGGUAGGGGAGACUGGAAUUCCCGGUGUAACGGUGGAAUGUGUAGAUAUCGGGAAGAACACCGAUGGCGAAGGCAGGUCUCUGGGCCGUCACUGACGCUGAGGAGCGAAAGCGUGGGGAGCGAACAGGAUUAGAUACCCUGGUAGUCCACGCCGUAAACGGUGGACGCUGGAUGUGGGGCACGUUCCACGUGUUCCGUGUCGGAGCUAACGCGUUAAGCGUCCCGCCUGGGGAGUACGGCCGCAAGGCUAAAACUCAAAGAAAUUGACGGGGGCCCGCACAAGCGGCGGAGCAUGCGGAUUAAUUCGAUGCAACGCCAAAAACCUUACCUGGGCUUGACAUGUUCCCGACGACACCAAAAAUGGCGUUUCCCUUCGGGGCGGGUUCACAGGUGGUGCCUGGU